rnacentral:rRNA from 1 species
GACGUAGGGUGCGAGCGUUGUCCGGAUUUAUUGGGCGUAAAGAGCUCGUAGGCGGUCUGUCGCGUCGGAUGUGAAAACCCAGGGCUCAACCCUGGGCCUGCAUUCGAUACGGGCAGACUAGAGUAUGGCAGGGGAGACUGGAAUUCCUGGUGUAGCGGUGAAAUGCGUAGAGAUCAGGAGGAACACCUGUGGUGUAGACAGCUUACUGGACGAUAACUGACGGCUGAGGAGCGAAAGCGUGGGGAGCGAACAGG